rnacentral:lncRNA from 1 species
UUAUCAUUACCAAAAUACGGUAUUUGACUUUAAAGAAAGUAUGAGAAUAUUACUAGUAAAAGUACUAAGGGAAAAUAUCAUAUGCCUCAGCAGAAGAUACUGCUGACUAAGGAAAAGAAAUCAUAGACUCCAGGAGAGUAUCGAAUGAACGACACGCCUGGCUCAGUCUAAAUCAAGGAGACACAGACCCCAGAUAGUAUCAAAUGAAUGAUACAUCUAGCAAGGUCUAAAAACAGUGAAUACAAACCCCAGACAGUAUCAAAUGAAUGAUACGUCUAGCAAAGUCUAAAAACAGUGAACACAGACUCCAAAUAGUAUCAAUUGAAUGAUAUGUCUUGCAAGGUCUAAAAAGAAUGAAUACAAUAUUAAUUCCUAUUACCUUAAGGCCAUGAAUUAUAAGGUAACCCCGAGAUACUCGUAACCAUACUGAUAGACACUAGAGAACUUGACGCCCUGUAAGCGUUGGAAACAAUGUGACAUUUGUCACCCCUUGGCUUGGUAGGCCGUGGACUGUAGCUAGCAGUCACGGUGUGGGNGUCAAUCCCGUAUAGAUCUAUACACACAAUGCCCGCUCUCCCUACAGGAGACUCUGGUUACCAACUUGACAACGGAGAAGGCCGUGUCCUGAAGAUGCAUCUCGUAUAGUGAGUUCUGAGGUAAAUACUGGGCUAAUAAUAGAGACUCACAAAUAACUGACCGAUGUAAACCUACAUGUCUAUACAUGUAUACAUAAUAUAUAAUUAAUGAUCAAACGACCUGCGGAUGGAUAUCCGAUCCCACCAUACCACAUCCCAACGAGGAAAAGGAAAUAGGGCGAACUAACCUUCCUGAGUCCUUUAAACAUUAUUUAUAUAACUAUACAAGUACAGACAUACAUUUAACUAAGUAGAAACAUUUAAUGAAGUUGAAGUGUUUAACGAAGUAGGAGUGUUUCACGAAGUAGAAGCGUUUCACGAAGUAGAAGCGUAUCACGAAGUAGAAGCGUUAAUAAGUAGAAGCGUAUGACGAAGUAGAAGCAUUAACAAGUAGAAGCGUAUCACGAAGUAGAAGCGUAUCACAAAGUAAAACAUUAACAAAGUAGUAGCAUUUAACUAAGUAGGAGCAUUAACUAAGAAGAAGUAUAACGAAGCAGUAGUAUCUAACGAUGUAGGAGUAUAAAAACAUGAAAGAAAACUUUGAUGAAAACUUUGGAAAACCUUUACACUUAAAAAAUCACGACUUGGUAUUCUUUUGUAAACUAAGUUUGAAAACCUUUAGAAAUCCUUUGAAAACCUUUCAUAAACAAGUCUUGAAUGAAACUUUCAUAAAACAUUAUAGGUAAAGAAAUCCUUUGUUUAAAAUAUUGUUGUAACUGAAUCUGAAGUAAAGCAUACAAUGUGAGAGACAAUUUGAGAAAAGCUUUGAACAAGCAAAGACGUUUUAGAAAACCAUUUACAAUAUCAUACUUGGUAAAACAUUUGACAGUGUAAUAACUCCUUGUCAUGGGUUUUAUGCAUAAGAAACAAUCCUAUGUGCUCAUACAAACCCUAAUGCUUGGAUCUAGGUUUCUCUAUCGUACAUGCUUUGAAUCCAAGACUAAUAAACUUAGAUCUAACAUGUUAUAAACUGAAUUAGGGUUUAGAGAAUUACCUUUGAUUGUUAUAUAGCAAUAACAAUCAAUUCCUUGCUUGGAUUGGCUUCAAAAGCUUAGUGCCUCAAGUGCUGCACCUCUAAUGGAGUCACAAACACCAUAUACAACUUGGAUUAAAGAGGAGAAGGAAAGAGGCUGCCCAAAAACGACUAGAAACCCUAGAGAAUCAGUUGUCCCCCAUGUUUUUGGGGCCUAAGGGGUCCUUUAUAUACUUGUGUGGGCUGCUAGGGUUUCAGUCAAAACCCUAAUGGACAGCUUAAACUCUAAGCAACCCAUGGAACCUUCUGGAUAAGGCCAUGAACGAAAAUAUGAUCGACUUCCAUCAUAAUUUCGUUCACCCCUUAUUUCUUUAGCAUUCCUUNNNNNNNNNNNNNNNNNNNNNNNNNNNNNNNNNNNNNNNNNNNNNNNNNNNNNNNNNNNNNNNNNNNNNNNNNNNNNNNNNNNNNNNNNNNNNNNNNNNNUGACACAUAAAAUAUUAUGGCGAAAGAUUGGUAAAGUAUCAUAUCGCUAUGUAAGACAUUAUGCAUCGUGUCCCAUACGCUUCGAGUAUAGGAUCGAUUGCAAAUGUUAUAAUAUUUUACCAUUCUAAAAUUUUCUAAAUGUCUAGCGCAUUAAGAGGGAAAAAGGACUAGAAUUGGUUUUGACUAAAAUAAUUAAACAACUAUCAAAGGAUGAUCCAAAGUUCGCUGAGGAUUGGCCGCUUGUGAGUAGUUGGAAGUAUGGUAUUGGAUGGACCAUAUCGACAUUAUUAUGAAUAGAUAAGAUUCUAUUAAGAAUGAGUUGUCAUAUGGCAAAUGUGGAAAUGUUUCCAUAUUGGGAGUUGGAUAUUGAGAUUCUAUGCCUAGAUUAGAAACUUUUAUGCAGGAAAGAUGUUCAAAUGAAUGUACUUUGAAUGUGAAACUUCACGUCUAUGGAAUUGUCUUGUAACAAUGUCCGAUAGAAUACUUCAUAAUUUCAUUAGCCAAGUCUUGGUGACUUUUGUGCUAUGACUUUAUGAAAGGAUCGUUGCAUAAGAUGUUAGAAUCUAGCAUAUUCUAAUAGUAGCAAAGAACCUUGUGUUCUUACACUAAUGAUAAGGAUUGGGAAUUGUGAAAUGAGCAUCAUUGAAAAGGUUUUUCANACAAACCCUAAUGCUUGGAUCUAGGUUUCUCUAUUGUACAUGCUUUGAAUCCAAGACUAAUAAACUUAGAUCUAACAUUUUAUAAACUGAAUUAGGGUUUAGAGAAUUACCUUUGAUUGUUAUAUAGAAAUAACAGUCAAUUCCUUGCUUGGAUUGGCUUCAAAAGCUUAGUGCCUCAAGUGCUACACCUCUAAUGGAGUCACAAACACCAUAUACAACUUGGAUGAAGAGGAGAAGGAAAGAGGCUGCCCAAAAACGACUAGAAACCCUAGAUAAUCAGUUGUCCCCCACGUUUUUGGGGCCUAAGGGGUCCUUUAUAUACUUGUGUGGGCUGCUAGGGUUUCAGUCAAAACCCUAAUCGACAACUUAAACUCUAAGCAGCCCAUGGAACCUUCUGGAUAAGGCCAUGGACAAAAAUAUGAUUGGCUUCCAUCAUAAUUUCGUUCACCCCUUAUUCCUUUAGCAUUCCUUAGCCCAAUAACUCAAUUAUCCAAUAAUUUCAGUCCAGUCCCCCUAAAUUUAAUUAAUCUCUUUUAGCCACAAAAUUAAUUUUUAAUUAAUUCUUGACUAAUAUUAAUUUAACAAUAUGAUUUCUCCUUUAAUAUAUUAUUCUCAUAAUAUAUUAAUAAAUCAUAUUUAAACCUUUCUCUCCUAAAAUCAUCCUACACAUUGCUAUGGUGAAGGCAACCCAAAAGGACCAUGCUCAUAAUCGGGUCAAGUACAUACCAAAAUAGUUAUGGACUUGGACACUAAUCCAACACCUUGUGCAUGCGACUUAUCAAUCACAUGUGAUUGAUAUGAUAACUGGCAUGUUUUAACUUGUAUUCCCCCCCCCCCCAUAAAAGCNAAAGCAUGUAAAAACAUUUAAUAGGUUAAUUCAGGGGUAUGAACUCACCUGUUGUAAGCGGAUCGGACGAAGGUGCCGGUUGGGUGCUCGGUGUCAAGUAAAGACUUGAACACACUUAGUGACCUAUUAACAUAUGAUGACAUAUGUUUACACACAAUUAGUAAAUAUAAUACUAAUUAAACACGUAUACGCAUCCUAAAAUGCGGAAAACACUUUGGUCAAGUGCUAGGAGUGUCCCGGGUAACAUCUAAGGGUGUGUAUGGCCUAGAUAGGGAGUUUACUCUUCAAGAGUAAACUCUUUAUAGAGUUUACGGCCCUAAGACCUUAUCCGCAUGAGUUUAUAGCCAUAAACUCAUGGAUGGUGUGUUCUUUGAUGCAUUAAGGUCUUAUAACACUUGUGGAAUUAGGCUAGGUUCAAUUGUAGGGCUUAAGGCCUCAAAUGGACCAUUUUAGGGAGUUUACGGCCCAUGACCACUCCUUGAGGAGUUUACGACUGUAAACACAUGAGUUUAUGAUAGUAAACUCAUGUUCGUCCAUUUCUUUUGUUGUUUGGUGGUUCUAACUCAUGCAUGUAAGGUUGUAGUCACUUUUAGGAGCAUAUGAAGGUGUUUAGGGCACUUAAACACCUUGGAAAGGUGUUUACGGUCUAAGAAGAUGUUCUUGGGGAUUUUACGAACUUAAACACAUGAUUUUACGACCUUAAACACAUGAUUCUAGGUCCAAUUCCAAGCCAUACAAAGUGUUAAGGGCACUUUAACACCCUUUGGGGUGUUUAUGGUCUAAGAAUAGGUGUUUACGGUCUAAGAAACCUCUUGGACCAUAAACACAAGUGUGACAUGAUUUUGUAUGCUUUGGUGCAUAUCAUGAAGGAAAAUAAGGUUCUAUGCACUCAAGGGAGUUCAUGGAAGCUCUAGGUGGUGUUUGAGGGGUAGUUUAACACUUAAACAAGUGUUUAUGGUCCAAGGAGAUGGGUUUACGGUCUAAGGAUGUUCUUAGACCGUAAACUCAUGUUUACUCCCCAUUUGAUCCGAUUUUGGUGUUCUAAGUUCUUUCGGGUAAGCCUCUAAGCAAUUGCUAAGCAUGAGAAGUGGUUUGGAAGGGUUUUUGAGCAUUAAAACCCCAUUAUGACUGUUUACGGUCCAUGAAGGUGUUAUUGGACCAUAAACUCAUGUUCUUGAGGUUUUUGGAUGAUUAAGUCAUGAAUUUGCAAGCUAGAUAAGUUAGAUAACAAGCUAGGAAGGUUUACUUACCGAUUUCAGGCUCGGAGGGGCGAUUUUUGACCAAAACCUGUUUGUAGAGAGAGAAAGUAGAGAGAGAGUCUAAGGUGGGAAAAAGUUGGGAAUGAAAUCCACUCCACCCUUAUAUAGGGUGGAGUUUAUGGCCUAGUUGGGGUUCACCUGACGCCAAUUGCGAACGAGGUUUUUAACGACUACCGUUAAACACGACAACUUUUUAAAAUUAUGCCACCUUAAUUUUGGUUCGCUUGACGAAUAUUAUUUAAAAUAUUCCAACGGGUUUAAAUCCGGUCAAAAAUAUUUUCGGGAUAAAUUUGACUAAUUUUUGACGUAAUUAAUUUCGACGUUAAAACUAACGGAAAUUUUUGGGUUGUCACGUCAUCCCCCCGUUAGAAGGAAUUUCGUCCCGAAAUUCAGGCUUAGGACAGGAAGUAGGUAUGAAUGACCGAGUAAAGGUAUGAGGGUACUUCCUAUUUGGUUGGUCCUCGCACUCCCAAGUGAAUUUCCGUCUUCGCUUGGCCUUCCAGCAAACCUUCACUUACGGGAUGCAGAUUCCGUCUUGUGUAGUAGUGAUUCCUAUAGGUUCGUGUACGAAGGUAGGGUUCCCAAUGGUUUCUAUCAAGAUGAGUGGGAUACAAAGAGUGACGUCGGGCAAACACUUAUCAUGUCUGAGAAGUGGAUUGAUCUGUGGUGAAACUUGUGGAAUUUCCGAAAGUAGUAGUGGUCUGACGAGGGUUGGACCAAUCUCCGUAAAGAAUCUCGGAUGGGCCUAAGCUCUCGGAAGGGUAGAGCUUUUCAGUACUUUGAACAUAGUGUACAUCUACGGCGAGAUCAUCACUGGCAUGAGUGCCAUUCCGAAGUUCCAAAUGUUCUCUCUCAUACUGGAAGUGUCCUUCAGGCUGUUUCAUAGAAAGCUCGGGUUGUCCUUGGAUUCGUGUUCCCUGUUGAUUGGCUCUCCGUGGUUUUCUAUAUCAUUGGAUGGAUUGCAUGUCUACGGGUAUCUGUUUGCUGUAAGGUGGCUAUCUCAAUCUUGUGCAAAAUGAACCUCCACUAAUGAUUCUUGAGAUGUUUCUAACGGAAACUCUCAUGGUCGGGGAGAUAGGGUUUCACCAGACGGGUGUUGGACUAUCUCGGGAGGUGGUUCUACUACUUCUAUGCGAGACAGUAUUCGUGGAACACCUAGUAGUCCAAUGAAUCUCUAAGACAUGUCAUAUUCUCCAAUGCGUUGGUUUAUUUUAGUUGCAGAAAGCGCGUGCUCUUGUAUAACCCAUCGACUAACACCUAGACUGGUGUCAAGUCUAUAAUCUCUUCAGGAUCUAGGUUAUAAGGCAUAACACAACCUACUCUCGCACUUUAUUCAAGUAUUCAUGGAUGCGGAGGUUAUCCUGUGGUCCUUGGUAUUCUAGUGUUCACUUCGGAGAAUGCAGUCUAUCGUCUACAGGGCGAUGGUGACUUCUUCCACGUAAGGGGGCGGAGUGUCCUAGGCACUACUCGUCGGUAACGGGGUGGACGAAGUGCCUGAGUUGUGCGAACAUCUUCAACAACUACUCUUCCGAAGGUCCUGAUUUUUCUCGGUCAAGAUCAAAUCUAGUGAGUAUAGGGUUCCAUCACUCGGAACUUUCAAUAUCUUCAUCCACUCUCAUCAAGGGUUAACGUAUCGCAACUUCUAGAUUUCUGGGACAUCCGCUGAGGUGCUUAAUUCGGGGGAUCAAGCGUGAGUGGAUGGUCGUAGUCAAUGUCCUUGACUCUAACGACUCAGAUUUCUCUUGACUCUAGCUCCUAUUCUAUGGAAUAUGAUGAAGGGUUUUACUAUGAGGUUCGUGGUAGAGCUCAUACUUGGCUUAACCACUAAUACUUGGUUUAUGUAAGUCGUAUAUAAUUGAGGUCAGCAGGAUGUUCAGUUGUGUGACUCCACCCCAGACCCACAACCCAACAAGGAACAGGGAGUAGGGAGGAAGCACACAUCUUAAAUCUUUUUUUAUCUCAAUUAUAUACCGCCUUUAUCAAUAUACUCAGUUAUAGUGGUCAGUCCCAUGAGUUCUAUCCUCUUGAUUCACGAACCUGAUUGCGAGGUGCGAAGGGUCUGUCUGGGUUUCUACGGUGUCUGCCUCGGAUGGUUAUCGUCUUUUUGAAUGCCUGCAGUGCCUUUCGCUUUGGUUUCUAUCUAUCUAAUAAGGGUUGGUUAACAGCGCGCAGUACCCUUCUCCUAGGUACUUUGGAAGGUCUGAAACAAGAGUGACGACUGACGGAUCGCAUUAGUCUUUAUUAUUUUUAUUUUGUUUAGGUUCGGAAGAACCUUUAUUUGCCGAAAUGGCUAUGGAGAAAGUUCUUUUUACAUAGCACUAAGGAUUUACACAUGGUUGCACGAAGUCGAACCAUGAUUGAUAGAGGCGUCGAAGUUGGCAUACUUCGACAUGAUAUAGAAUAAGGGUCGAUAGAGUCAUGUGCCGAACGGGCACACAAGUUCUAGGCGUCUCGGGUUUCGUCCUGUGUAUCACUGUCGCAGAUACUUGGACCGAUAGAGUCGACGCGGAACUAUAGAGGGUCGUGAGUGUUUCUGAGUAAAGUACCUUUUCAUGAAUGGAUUCUCACGAGGCAUUUCUACAAUCGCCUAACAUAUACUAUUCAUGUAUAAUUAAGGUGGGGAGGACUGUUGACUGAGCGACUCCACCCUAAAUCCACAACCAAUCGAGGAACAGGAAAUGAGGCGGCCUUUACUCACUCUAGGUCUAUCCAUCUCAAUUAUACAUGGCCGUAACGUAUAUAUUUAGCCAUUAUAGUUUUACCUGAUGAAAUUUUAAAUUUUAAAUCCGUGCUGCGACUUUCGCCUUAACGGGGAAGUAAUUACAUUUUGAAUUAGUAUUUUAAUGUUUUCGGUUAGUUAUCUGAGAUUGAGAGACGUACCAAAAAUCUAUCAGGUUCCUUGAUGCGUCUCCCUAAGCAUUAGAGUUAGACUCCUCCUGUGUCCUUGUCUUUUCUUUCAGUUGGACAGUCCUUCUUGAAGUGUCCAAUCUCACCACAUAGGUGGCAAACUGUAUUGGUCGCCACAUUGGUGGUUGAUGUAAUAAACUCAACCGGGGUUUUGCAGGCGCAAGCGAUAUGCUCCUUCAUGUGGCACCUAUCACAAUAGAGUUCCCGGCAUAUACCAUGAUGAUGGUAGCUACACUUGCUGUAGUGGUGAAGGUUUCCUAGGUAUGGUCUCCUAGGUGUAGGGAUGGAAGGGUUGGCAGAGAUAUUGACUGUCUCAGCUCGUUAUCGUUCGAAAGGUCCAUCAGCCGAGGUACUUCCCUCCUCGAUCUUAAUCUUUCUCUUAAGUGGAUUUGAUUGAGGUCCUUGGGUGGCUGGGUAUGCAGGUGUUGGUUGCUGUUGUCCAUUGCUAGGAUCGGAAUUUCCGAUAGGGCUCUUGCUAAAAUUGGCGUUGUUAUCAUUCAGUUGAGCCAUGACAGCUGCUACAGCUGCCGAGACUGCAGCUUGGAACGUAGCUUCAUCGAAUAGGAGAGUUGGUUUCUUGCCGGUGGAUGGGUUACGCUUCUUUGGAGGCAUGGUUUUUCCUACACGGAAAAGGAACACAAGCUGAUGAGAGACGAAGGUUAACCCUGGAUGUAUCUGUCCUUACUAUAUUAGGCAUAAUUUUUUCCCGUGCAUCGGAUACUGGUUGUCUGAGUGUCGACCUACAUCCCUAUGAUGUAGUCCAAGUAUUCAAGGUAGGAGUAUGAGUAUCGGAAAAGCCAUAAGAUGGGAGUCGUUCCUACUAAGUUACCUUUAUACUGGGAAAGGUUCACUCUCCGGCUUGGAAAGAUUCGAGAACAGUUAGGAACGAAGACCGCCGGAAAAAGGCUCAUGAAGACUUAUGGAUAAACAACCUCAAUAGAGGUGUCGGGAUCCGCUCUAAGCGUAUUACUUGCAACGGGAAAAGCACGAUUUACCUAACACAUAGCGUGAGUAGUGUAAUCACCAACUCACUAAAUUGUAUUAUUUUAUAGGUGUAUUAGCAUGACGAAUACGAGGAAAAGACACCUCUCAGGUUCCAUGUACUGGUUCCCUCUGCCUAUCUCGUAUCUUUGACUAAGACCAGCGUUGGUUUCCUUCGGGUGGUUACCUAGGGUUUUCUUCUCCUAUAGACAUAUUGAAUUUCUACCCCACCUUACUUUUGAAUCCGACUCUGGGUGUCAUCACUUCAUGAUGGAUGACUGGAAAUCUCGGAAGUUUAGGCGAAUUUUUCACCGAUGUCCCUAAAUGAUAUAGACACUUGGUGAUUUCAAUAGUCUCGACCUAGUUCAUUUAUUUCCGAACUGGAAAUCUUCUCAAUGAACCUCUUCGGGGUCUGAAUUAACUCUUCUGCCGAGUACUAAAAUGGAUAUGGUUUUCUACAGGGUUCGUGCGAGAAUGGAAAUGUCUAAAGAAUCCUAAGAGAUUAUUAACAUUUCACUGGAUGAUCCAUAUCGAGUCCUGCUACGAUUACACAGGGUAUACAAAUCAUAUAUAGCUUAGAUCCGAUAGGCCUUCGAAUAUGUGAUACUACUCUAUAUCCACAUCCCAACGAGGAAAAGGAAGUAGAGCGAAACCACACAUUCUUAGCCUAUGGGAUCCUUAUUAUAUAUAACCUUGGGAGUAUACCCUCUGUAAUUGUAGGUAUAUCAAUAAGGAUCUUUUUAGUUCUUCACACAAGGUUAUCUAUGGAUCCUAAAAUACCCCUAUGGUAUUUUAAUUUCUUGUUUGUUUCUUAUCUUCUGAAUAUGAUUCUGGGAUUAAUGUGAGUCUUUUAGUAUUCCAAAAUACUCCCAUAGUAUUUUAAACUUUAUGUUUGGCUCUAGCAUUCCUAGUUGGUAAGUUUCAGACCUGUUGCAACACCACUAUCACUCCCAAGCACACGUUCAUCGCAUCUCGAAUAAAUGUAGUUGAUCAGGUUACAUUUAUUCCAGCUUACGAUUACAUAACUGCCCAGGUUUGACGGUAAUGCUCAACAUCCGAAGACUUUUAUUCUUGUUCUUCUUGUGAUACUUGUGUUCGAGUGUUUAGAUUCUGGAUGUUCUUAUACUUUGGUAAAAUAUGGUUAUAUUUUAAAGUAUAAUUCUUGGUCAGAGUGUUUUAUCCCUAUGUAUUUAUAGGCUGUAUAUCUUUUAUGAAUUGAUAUACUUAGCUCACUAUAAACAAUGCUCUGAUACCAAUCUGUCACACCCCAAAACCGGAACGGCGGAAACGUUCUGGGGUGGAUGACGUCAUGUCAAGUAUCACAACAUAUGCAGUAUAGUAAUCAAAGUACAACAACCAUUGCAUUAAUAGUAAUAGUUUUACAUGGUUUACAUUACAUAGAAACAUCAAAGUAAUACAAGUAAUAAUAUAGGUGCAGCUUGGUACUAAACUGUCUUCACCAAAAGCUCCUGGAAUGUACCUGUCUAUUGCUGACCUGAGAAUACAAGUUAUUUGAAAGCGAGUAUCAGCAUUUUCACAAAUGUUGGUGAGUUCAUAAGUAUUUAGUGUCAUUUUAUUCAAAUAACUUUAUAAAAAGUAGUAGUUUAGAAUCAACGGUGUAUUAGAGUCCCUUUCUAGAAAAUCCUAUAUUUUCUAAAUAAAAGCAGUCUUCUACCAAGACCCGACAGUGUUAUGUUUUAAAGAGAAUUUCGCUUAAAUAUUAUCAUUACCAAAAUACGAUAUUUGACAUUAAAGAAAGUAGGAGAAUAUUACUAGUAAAAGUACUAAGGGAAAAUAUCAUAUGCCUCAGCAGAAGAUACUGCUGACUAAGGCAAAGAAAUCAUAGACUCCAGGAGAGUAUCGAAUGAACGACACGCCUGGCUCAGUCUAACAAAAGGAGACACAGACCCCAGACAGUAUCAAAUGAAUGAUACGUCUAACAAGGUCUAAAAACUGUGAAUACAAACCCCAGACAGUAUCAAAUGAAUGAUACAUCUAGCAAGGUCUAAAAACUGUGAACACAGACCCCGGAUAGUAUCAAUUGAAUCAUACGUCUUGCAAGGUCUAAAAACAGUGAAUACAGUGUUAAUUCCUGUUACCUUAAGGCCAUGAAUUAUAAGGUAACCCCGAGAUACUCGUAACCAUACUGAUAGACACUAGAGAACUUGACGCCCUGCAA